AGUAGAAAAAGAAAAAAGACAACAAAUAAUCAUUUGCUGAAGUCUGUGCAAGAGAAAUUAAAAUAUGAAACACUGAAAAUGGAGACACAUUUGGUUUAAUCUCAAGUGAUGAGGAAGAGUAUGUUAUUAAUUCAAGUGACCCAGAAGAGAUGACCGAAAAAAAUAUUCUAGAUUAUUUAUCAAGAUACUUAUACGGUAAUAUAAACAGGAAAACAAGUGAGUGGUAAAAAAUAUUUAUAUAGUUCAGAAAGUGAGAAUGAGACAGAGACAAGAAAAAAUUCUUGGAAAAUAUGGGCAUGUCUUGUACAUGUGUGGUUAAUAUAUCCAUAUUUUGAGCCCUACAACAUAAAGAACAGGUGAAGUUCUGAUUGCUUGAUGACUAUGCUGAUGAUACAGUGGUCAGGUAUGUAAAUGUUCUUAAUUUUUUUUUGAUCAGGCUAAAGUUCGAGAAGCUUACAGGGGUUUUUAUAUGCCCACAUUUUCAUGUGGAAGUAUAUUGUCGUCGCCCCUGUCUGUCCAUCCGUCCACAAUUGUUUGUGGACACUCUACAUGUCACAAUUUUUAUUCUAUUUCAACGAAACUUGAAUUAUCGGUUCCUUUCGAUA